rnacentral:rRNA from 4 species
UUCUACAUAAAAUGACUCUCGGCAACGGAUAUCUCGGCUCUCGCAUCGAUGAAGAACGUAGCGAAAUGCGAUACUUGGUGUGAAUUGCAGAAUCCCGUGAACCAUCGAGUCUUUGAACGCAAGUUGCGCCCGAAACCAUUAGGUUGAGGGCACGUCUGCCUGGGUGUCA